CCUACGGGGAGGCAGCAGUGGGGAAUAUUGCACAAUGGGGGAAACCCUGAUGCAGCCAUGCCGCGUGUGUGAAGAAGGCCUUCGGGUUGUAAAGCACUUUCAGUAGGGAGGAAGGUAGUGUAGUUAACACCUGCAUUAUUUGACGUUACCUACAGAAGAAGCACCGGCUAACUCCGUGCCAGCAGCCGCGGUAAUACGGAGGGUGCGAGCGUUAAUCGGAAUUACUGGGCGUAAAGCGCAUGCAGGCGGCCUGUUAAGUCAGAUGUGAAAGCCCGGGGCUUAACCUCGGAAUUGCAUUUGAAACUGGCAGGCUAGAGUCUUGUAGAGGGGGGUAGGAAUUUCAGGUGUAGCGGUGAAAUGCGUAGAGAUCUGAAGGAAUACCAGUGGCGAAGGUGGCCCCCUGGACAAAGACUGACGCUCAGAUGCGAAAGCGUGGGGAGCAAACAGGAUUAGAUACCCUGGUAG
rnacentral:rRNA from 1 species